rnacentral:rRNA from 1 species
GAUGAACGCUGGCGGCGCGCCUAACACAUGCAAGUCGAACGGUUAAAGCACCUUUUAGGUGUGUAUAAAGUGGCGAACGGCUGAGUAACACGUUGGCAACCUGCCCUCCUCUUGGGGAUAGCCUCGGGAAACCGAGGAUAAUACCCGAUACUUCAAUGUGGCCGCAUGACGACAUUGAGAAAGCUUUUGCGGAGAAGGAUGGGCCCGCGGCCUGUUAGCUUGUUGGUGGGGUAGAGGCCUACCAAGGCAAUGAUGGGUAGCUGGGUUGAGAGACCGACCAGCCAGAUUGGGACUGAGACACGGCCCAGACUCCUACGGGAGGCAGGAGGGGGGAAUCGUGGACAAUGGGGGAAAGCCUGAUGCAGCGACGCCGCGGGCGGGACGAAGGCCUUCGGGUUGUAAACCGCUUUCAGCAGGGACGAGGCGAUAAGUGACGGUACCUGCAGAAGAAGCCCCGGCUAACUACGUG